rnacentral:rRNA from 1 species
ACUGGGCUUUAACUGACGCUGAGGCUCGAAAGCGUGGGGAGCAAACAGGAUUAGAUACCCUGGUAGUCCACGCCGUAAACGAUGAUUACUAGGUGUGGGGGGAUUGACCCCUUCCGUGCCGCAGUUAACACAAUAAGUAAUCCACCUGGGGAGUACGGUCGCAAGACUGAAACUCAAAGGAAUUGACGGGGGCCCGCACAAGCAGUGGAGUAUGUGGAUUAAUUCGAAGCAACGCGAAGAACCUUACCAGGUCUUGACAUCGUACGCAUAGCAUAGAGAUAUGUGAAAUCCCUUCGGGGACGUAUAGACAGGUGGUGCAUGGUUGUCGUCAGCUCGUGUCGUGAGAUGUUGGGUUAAGUCCCGCAACGAGCGCAACCCUUACUGUUAGUUGCUACGCAAGAGCACUCUAGCAGGACUGCCGUUGACAAAACGGAGGAAGGUGGGGAUGACGUCAAAUCAUCAUGCCCCUUAUGACCUGGGCCUCACACGUACUACAAUGGCUGUUAACAGAGGGAAGCGAAACCGCGAGGUGGAGCAAAUCCCCAAAAGCAGUCUUAGUUCGGAUUGUAGGCUGCAACCCGCCUACAUGAAGUCGGAAUU